rnacentral:rRNA from 1 species
UCCCCCAGAGGUAUUGCCUCAGUAGCGGCGAGUGAAGCGGCAAGAGCUCAGAUUUGAAAUCGUGCUUUGCGGCACGAGUUGUAGAUUGCAGGUUGGAGUCUGUGUGGAAGGCGGUGUCCAAGUCCCUUGGAACAGGGCGCCCAGGAGGGUGAGAGCCCCGUGGGAUGCCGGCGGAAGCAGUGAGGCCCUUCUGACGAGUCGAGUUGUUUGGGAAU